GUGGGGAAUUUUGGACAAUGGGCGCAAGCCUGAUCCAGCAAUGCCGCGUGCAGGAAGAAGGCCUUCGGGUUGUAAACUGCUUUUGUACGGAACGAAACGGUCCGGGUUAAUACCCUGGGCUAAUGACGGUACCGUAAGAAUAAGCACCGGCUAACUACGUGCCAGCAGCCGCGGUAAUACGUAGGGUGCAAGCGUUAAUCGGCAUUACUGGGCGUAAAGCGUGCGCAGGCGGUUUUGUAAGACAGGCGUGAAAUCCCCGGGCUCAACCUGGGAAUUGCGCUUGUGACGGCAAGGCUGGAGUGCAGCAGAGGGGGAUGGAAUUCCGCGUGUAGCAGUGAAAUGCGUAGAUAUGCGGAGGAACACCGAUGGCGAAGGCAAUCCCCUGGGCCUGCACUGACGCUCAUGCACGAAAGCGUGGGGAGCAAACAGGAUUAGAAACCCUUGUAGUCC
rnacentral:rRNA from 1 species